GUGCUUGCUUCAGCAGUACACAUACUAAAACUGGAACAAUACAGAGAGGGUUAGCAUGGCCCUUGCACAAGGAUGACACACAAAUUCGUAAAGCGGUCCAUAUUUUU
ensembl:snRNA U6 U6 spliceosomal RNA